CCUCUUGAACUCUGGCGAAGGUCUCUCUCGUAAGAUCUUUCAAGAUUUGUCGCGUCAAGAACAGCUAAAACAAAUGCCAUUGUGGAUGUUUUGCUUGUUUGUCUGUCAUCAUCAUCCUCAUCGGCACCAUUGGAUAACUUGGACAACUGGGGGGGCUAUCAUCUUCGACGAAGCUUCGCCAGCAUCACCUUAGUCAUCGUCAUCAGGAGCCUCUUAGCAUUGAUGAGCGCAAUGAUGGGAGCUUCUGAUGGCUGCUAGGUUUCAUUGGUGUUUGCUCAAAAGCUUUAGGGUCAACGUCCGGAGUGUCUGAAGCUUUUAGUAGUAGAUUUGUGAGUUUAAGAUUUUUAGUGUUUAUUGUCA